rnacentral:lncRNA from 1 species
UUUCAAGUAGAAUCCGAAGCGGAGAAGAGACUAAUCCUAGCAAACCUCCUGCAAAUACACACCAAAAAUAAACAUAUAAAUAAAACAAAAAGAAGAAGUAUACAUCAAAUUACUGGCAACUAAGACCCUCAAGACCACGCACAUCAAAAUCAAGAAACCAACAAAAGAUAACACAUAUAUCGAUUGAAUGAAUAAUCAAAACUCGUUUUUUGGUUUGAUCAAUGAUUUUCAAUUAAAGCCUCACCACGGAAUCCGAAAGCAGCAGUGCGAGCAGCCAAGUGUUUCAAACGUUCUUCGGCGCUCAUCUUUCCUAGUACAGGCCUUUUAAAGGGGUUUAAAAAAAGCUGAGUCAAGAAAUAAGGAGGGUUUGGAGCUUGGCCAGCAGCUACCAUUAAAAUACUUUUCUCUCUGUUUCGUGCUAUUUCUCUCUGUCCGUCCGUUUGUGUUUG